AUUCCCCUAGUAACUGCGAGUGAAGCGGGAAAAGCUCAAAUUUAAAAUCUGGUGGUCUUUGGCCAUCCGAGUUGUAAUUUAGAGAAGCGUCUUCCGCGCCGGACCGUGCACAGGUCUCCUGGAAUGGAGCGUCGUAGAGGGUGAGAAUCCCGUCUUUGGCAUGGACGCACCGGUGCUUUUGUGAUGCGCUCUCGAAGAGUCGAGUUGUUUGGGAAUGCAGCUCAAAAUGGGUGGUGAACUCCAUCUAAAGCUAAAUAUUGGCGAGAGACCGAUAGCGAACAAGUACCGUGAGGGAAAGAUGAAAAGCACUUUGGAAAGAGAGUGAAACAGUACGUGAAAUUGUUGAAAGGGAAACGCUUGAAGUCAGUCGCGUCGGCCGAGACUCAGCCUUGCCUCGGCUUGGUGUACUUCUCGAUCGACGGGUCAGCAUCGAUUUCACCCCUUGGAUAAUGGCGAGGGAAAUGUGACACCUUCACAGGUGUGUUAUAGUCUCUCGUCGCAUGCAAGGGUUGGGAUCGAGGAACUCAGCACGCGCCUCCGGGCGUCGGGGCUUCUGCCCACGAUACGUGCUUAGGAUGCUGGCGUAAUGGCUUUAAACGACCCGUCUUGAAACACGGACCAAGGAGUCUAACAUGCCCGCGAGUGUUCGGGUGGAAAACCCGUGCGCGCAAUGAAAGUGAAAGUUGGGACCUCUGUCGUGGAGGGCACCGACGCCCGGACCAGACCUUCUGUGACGGAUCUGCGGUAGAGCGUGUAUGUUAGGACCCGAAAGAUGGUGAACUAUGCCUGAAUAGGGUGAAGCCAGAGGAAACUCUGGUGGAGGCUCGUAGCGAUUCUGACGUGCAAAUCGAUCGUCAAAUUUGGGUAUAGGGGCGAAAGAC
rnacentral:rRNA from 1 species